GACGAACGCUGGCGGCGUGCUUAACACAUGCAAGUCGAACGGAAAGGCUCCAGCUUGCUGGAGUACUCGAGUGGCGAACGGGUGAGUAACACGUGGGUAAUCUGCCCUGCACUCUGGGAUAAGCCUGGGAAACUGGGUCUAAUACUGGAUAUGACCUUUCUCCUUAUGGGGUUUGGUGGAAAGUGUUGCGGUGUAGGAUGAGCCCGCGGCCUAUCAGCUUGUUGGUGGGGUGAUGGCCUACCAAGGCGACGCCGGGUAGCCGGCCUGAGAGGGUGAGCGGCCACAUUGGGACUGCGGUACGGCCCAGACUCCUACGGGAGGCAGCAGUGGGGAAUAUUGCACAAUGGGCGGAAGCCUGAUGCAGCGACGCCGCGUGAGGGAUGACGGCCUUCGGGUUGUAAACCUCUUUCAGCAGGGACGAAGCGUAAGUGACGGUACCUGCAGAAGAAGCACCGGCUAACUAUGUG
rnacentral:rRNA from 1 species